GGCUSAAAUUUUUUUUGAUAAAUUGCUCCGUGCGGUAAAGCGAAUGAUUAGCGUAUUUGGGGGCGGACAGCCUUCAGUCGAUUCUCAAACUUUAAAUGCGCGUGGAUGCUAGCUGCUUAAUUUAUUUUGAGCAGUGUCGUCGAGAAUAUUUAGCCUUGUGGGCCACUUUUGGUAAGCAGAACUGGCGAUACGGGAUGAACCGUAAGUAUGGUUAAGGUGCCAAAUUCUCCGCUUAGAGACCCCAAAAAAGGUGUUGAUUCAUCGAGACAGCAGGACGGUGGCCAUGGAAGUCGGAAUCCGCUAAGGAGUGUGUAACAACUCACCUGCCGAAUGAAUUAGCCCUGAAAAUGGAUGGCGCUGAAGCGGGGAACCGACACCAUACCGUUUGGACAAAAGUGGCGAUCCAGAUGAGUAGGAAAACGUGGCGGUCGUAUCGAAGCGUAUGUGCGAACGUGCGUGGAACGGCCGCUAGUGCAGAUCUUGGUGUUAGUAGCAAAUAUUCAAAUGAGAACCUUGAAGGGCGAAGCGGGGAAGGGUUCCACGCGAACAUUGAUUGAGCGUGGGUGAGUCGUUCCUAAAUCGAGUGGCAAUUGCUAAUUACCGGUGAAAGGGAAGCAGGUUGAGAUUCCUGCACACGGAUAUGGAUGCGGUGACGCCCGUCUGGCACAGUGACGCCGCGGUAGCGCUGGGCCAGAGUUUUCUUUUUCUGUUUAACUGAACCAGCAAUACUCUUGUGGAAUCCGAUUGUCGGGAGAAACAGGUAUGUGUGGGCAAAGCGUCGGGGCUUUUCCGGCGUCCAGCUUGCUAUCGACGGCCCUUGAAAAACUGUGUGCUGGCAUUAGACUACUGAAUAAGUAGUUCUUUUGUGUGAAAAAUUCCAUGCCGUGACGUACCGAUAACCGCAUCAGGUCCCCAAGGUGAACAGCCUCUGCUCAAUAUGGUAAAUGCAGGUAAGGGAAGUCGGCAAAUUAGACCCGUAACUUUGGGAAAAGGGUUGGCUCUAGUGCUACGUGAGAAUGGGAG
rnacentral:rRNA from 1 species